UACAGAGGGGGCAAGCGUUGUUCGGAAUUACUGGGCGUAAAGGGCGCGUAGGCGGCCUGUUAAGUCGAACGUGAAAUCCCCGGGCUCAACCCGGGAACUGCGUCCGAUACUGGUUGGCUUGAAUCCGGGAGAGGGACGUGGAAUUCCAGGUGUAGCGGUGAAAUGCGUAGAUAUCUGGAGGAACACCGGUGGCGAAGGCGACGUCCUGGACCGGCAUUGACGCUGAGGCGCGAAAGCCAGGGGAGCAAACGGG
rnacentral:rRNA from 1 species